rnacentral:ribozyme from 1 species
AUAUAAGCUAUAAAGGCCAUAGCAGAAGCGUUCAUGUUGCAGCCUCUGUCAGAUUCCAACAAAUCUGAUAAAUUCCUU